GACAGAGCCCCCAAGCGUUAUCCGGAUUUACUGGGCGUAAAGCGUCUGUAGGCGGUUCGUUAAGUUUCUUGUUAAAUUUCUAGAGCUUAACUUUAGAAGUGCAGGAAAAACUGGCGAACUGGAGGGUGUUCGGAGCUGAUGGAACGGUCGGUGUAGGGGUAAAAUCCGUUGAUAUCGACCGGAACACCAAAAGCGAAGGCAUUCAGCUAGGGCAGCCCUGACGCUGAGAGACGAAAGCGUGGGGAGCAAAAAGG
rnacentral:rRNA from 1 species